rnacentral:rRNA from 1 species
UAAGUAAGUGGUGGAAAUUAAACCAAAUAGGAUAUCUUUAGUAAUUGCGAAUGAACAAGGAUAUGCUUAGCUUGACAAAUGGAGCUAUUGGCUUUGAAUUGUAUUGUGGAAAUGUAUUACCAACAGGGGUGCAGGUGCCAGCCUAUUGAAAUAAAGCGUCAAUGAGGGUGAGAAUCCUGUUUGUCAUGUGCAGCCCUUUGUGCACGGUGUAUAUUUGCUGAGUCACACUCCUUGGCAUUGGAAUGCAAAGUGGGUGGUAAGUUUCAUGUAAAGGUAAACAUGCAAUUGAGACUGAUAGCACACAAGUACCAUGAGGGAAAUAUGAAAAGGACUUUGAAAAGAGAAUUAAAUGAGUUUGUAUUUGCUGAACACAAAGUAAACAGUCUUGAUUUGCUUGGUGGGAGUGUUGCACUUGCUUGACAAGAGCUUUGGGCUGUGGGUGUAAUGAUUCUUUCUUUGCAUGCCAGUUUCUAUUUGUACAUCUGAUUACCUUUGCACAUGAAUGAUAAGUCUCCUGUGGGGGGUGGAUUGCAUGUGCAUGUAAUGAUUUGUGUUUUGAUAAAUGUGUCUGGUGUAUGUGUGUGUGUUCCUGUGCUUGGGGAUGCUUCCUUCUUUGGACUUACAAGCCCUGACACACACAUGCUGGCAAAAUGCUUCUGCUUGACCCG